AGGAUAAACGCUGGCGGCGUGCCUAACACAUGCAAGUCGAACGCGCUUACUAUCCGCGAGGAGGGUGAGCGAGUGGCGGACGGGUGAGGAACACGUGGGUGACCUACCUUUCAGUGAGGGAUACCGGCGAGAAAUUGCCGACAAGACCGCAUACGCUUCUCUUUUCAAGGGGAGAAGGAAAGCUUUUCGCAAGAGAGGCGCUGGGAGAUGGGCCUGCGGCCGAUUAGCUAGCUGGUGGGGUAAUGGCCUACCAGGGCGACGAUCGGUAGCUGGUCUGAGAGGACGAUCAGCCACACUGGGAUUGAGAACGGCCCAGACUCCUACGGGGGGCAGCAGUGAGGAAUUUUCGGCAAUGGGGGCAACCCUGACCGAGCAACGCCGCGUGCAGGACGACGGCCUUCGGGUUGUAAACUGCUUUUCUCUGGGACGAGCAAGGACGGUACCAGAGGAAGAAGCCCGGCUAACUACGUGCCAGCAGCCGCGGU
rnacentral:rRNA from 1 species